UUCUGGGAUUAAAAGCUCUGCCCUGCUGCAAGCCUGCUAACAGCUGGGGAGGUUGCUCCGUGCGUGUGCUUUACUCACUGAUCUGAGAGAUGCCCAGCUGAUUUCAUCUGGGCAGUCUGUCAUAGUUUCUCUUUCCAACCAUACAACAGCAUCUGGCUGCUUUCUGAGCUCACAAAAGCAGUGAAAUGCCUUUUUUCCUUCUUACAGUGUUGCCGGUUUCUGUGCAGUGAGCUGCCCUGACGUCCCUCUCCAGCUCGGAGGCCCAGCUGAAGGCCGUGUUGCCCCUCUCGGGGGGUUCCUUCGGGGCUGCGUUGCAGGACACAGCCUCCCACCGCCCGCCUCCCCCCUGCAGUGUGGCUGCACCGCCGGGAUGCGACUGUGGACAUGUCGCUGCAGUAACGGGGCUGAGAUCAUCAGUGAUGCAGUCUGUCCGCGGGUGUCGGGGGUUUUCCAGAGGAGCAGCUUUCUGUAGGUCGUGAUCUCGAUGUCCAGGGCCAGCUUGACGUUCAUCAGCUCCUGGUACUCGCAGAGCUGCCGGGCCAGGUCUGCCUUGGUUUGCUGCAGAGCUAUUUCCAGCUCAGAGAGUUUGCACUUUGCGUCCUUGAUGGAUGUUUCCCCACACUGCUCAGCAUUGGCCACAGCGGUUUCCAGUUUGCAGCGCUGCAAGGAGCAAGACACAGCUAUCAGCGUUUCUGCCUGCAGUGACUCGCAGCUCCUCAAACUAAAAUGCCCCAAAGACAUUGUUGUGUGUCUCAGAAAACACAUGUUUUGAGUUAAAUCAGAGCAUAUUAGGAGCGUGGGGGUGUUUCUCUGGUUUUUAAGAGAGAAAUUGCAUCCGAACCCUCCCUCUGGCAGUUUUUCUCACCUUGCUUUUGUACCAGGCUUCUGCUUCUGCCCGGCUCCUGCAGGCAGUGUCCUCGUACUGAGCCUUGACAUCAGCAAUGAUG